rnacentral:lncRNA from 1 species
CCCAUUCUCUCAGACAAGUCGCCUCUAAUUCCUCUCUUCUCUCAAACACUCUCAAAACCCUAAUUCCUGCCUACCCCUCUUCGAUCUCAAAUUCACCAGAAUCCAUGGCUGCUCUAGCCAUGGAAGACCUAUACGCACCUCCUACUGCUCUCUCAUGCCUGAUUCCUGGAGAUUCGAGGCCAGUCUUCGAGGAUCUUCACCCAGACCUUUGUCUAUUCAAGGUUUUCAGCCAUCUUUGGUCGUGCUCCGGCAUAUCUUAGCCUUUUGAGCCUGGUUCCAACCUUAUCGACUAAGAUCUGAUCUUGUAUUUUCCAAGUCUUUUUCGUCCUUUAGGGUUCUCAGAAACCCUAGCCUAUUCAAGGUUCUUUUUUGUUUAUUCGUUUAGAUAUGUGCUAGAUCUAUGCUAUAUGUGACGUUUAAAGCAUUUUCCCAAAAUUUCCUUUUUCAAAACCCUUUGAUUUUAAAUUAGGGUUUCUGAGUCUCUUUGUUCGAUUCAUCUGCUUAGCAUCUCUAGGUCCAAUUUGAUGUUAAAAACUCUAAUUUUUGGGGAUUUAUUUGAGUCCCUAAGCCUAUCUGUUUGGUUUACUGACUAAUAGUGAAAACCAUAAUUUUUGGGGGUUCACUUGGGAUUUUGAAAUUGUUUGUUUAUCGGCUCUAAGCUCAACUGAUUAUUGAAAACCCUAGUCUCUUUGGGGACUAUUCGAGUCCUUUGAGUUUGUUUGUGCAAAUCAUCUGUUUAAAAUUACUCAAUUUGAUUCUUUUGCUUCAAUAUCUCUUUUCCAUUAUGUAAUUUCUUUAGUUUUGAGUUCUUGCUACCUGUCAAACUCGACUAUGAUUUCGACUCUUUGAAUGCUUUUGAUUCCUUUUCUCUCUAUUACCUGCUGAAACCUAACUAGCAUGCUUCGAAUGUUUCUCUAUGCUAUUUCUUUUGCCAUAGCUUGGCCUCACACAUGUGCUACUUGCGCAUUCAUUAUAUACCGAGUCCCUUCUGUGAUUGAUUUUCAAACUCGUAAUUAAUUCCAAAACUUUUUUCUUCCGUGAGAUUCUGAUUUUUACUAGCCUGUUAAGGGUUAAUUGAUUCUCUUUCUAUGUUUGGCCUUACUGAAUCUUCCAAAAAUAAUUACAAGCAUGUACUUAGACUUAACUGCCUACUGUAUGAUUUUACUAUUUCUUUUAUGGUUAUUGUCACUCUGCUCACAAAUUGAUUUUUCUUUCCUUAUUUGGAUCCUGUUAGUAUCCGUUUGAAUAAAAAUCCCCUAUUAAAUGAAAAUCUUGUCUUAAUUGAUUUUGAUUGUGGUAAUGCCCAUAUUUGUGUUAAAAUUGUACUUAUUACCUUAUUUUCUACACGUUUUCAAAGCUAUAAAUACCUGUUCGUUUUCUCUUUCAAAAACAAGUUCUAAUAGAACAUAAUACUGCUUCUUCUAAAAUACAAUAGAUUUCUUAAGUCUUCGAGUUCUCUGAACUCACAAGUUCAAAACUUUCUUCUCUGAUUGUGGUUUUGGCUGAAAGAAUACUUUACAACUUGUAUGUCUCUCCAUGUUUGGUUUCUGCCUCUUCACUAUAUGUUUAUUCUUCAGCCUCUCCUCUGUUUGUCUUAAUGUUUCGAUGCUAAUAUUUCUACAAGUUCUACUUACUGCUUUUCUCUGUGUUUACAUGAAUUCUCACUCCCCAGUUCCCUUUGUAUGUUGAGUUAUGGUUCAGAAAGACAUGACAACACUUAACAUUAUUGUUCAUGUAUAUGGACUGGACUCACUGAGUCCUAAACUCUUUCAAUUCCCCAUUUCCCUUUCCCUUUAUGUGUAUUUUAAGCCUGAAACUUUGGUCUGGCAGUGUCCUAAUCACUGUCCAAACCAUAGUCUGACCUUCAAUAGGUCUGUGCUCCUCUUUGUUGGCUGAAUAAGUUUGGUCAGGGGUGUGCCAGUCUACCUCAUGACUAGGUAUGACCACCAGCCUGCCUUGGCACUCCCCAACCCCUCUAUUGCACUUGCACUCAUUCUUAGAACAUUAAGUUAUGUCCCUCUCUUGUGAGCCAUGCUUUGGGAUCCAUGAGCUCCCUCUGAACUUGGAUACCUGAGGGCUGGCUUUUCUACAUUGCACUAUAACCCUUUUUUGAAAGUUAUGAGGUCAUUUUAUCGAGUUUUGUUUCGACAUGAUACUAUCAAGUGCUUUAGUAUACUUUUCAGAACCACGAGAUGCUAUGUCCGGAAGAGUUCCUAGAUGCACCGGAAAAUAACCAUAUUCAGAACCAUUAUACAUCAUUUGAUGAAAGCUCUCCAUAUAUUUAUAAACUGCCAUAUUCAGCCGUUAUACAUAAUUUGAUGAUAAACUCUCUAUAUAUUUAUAAACUGUGUAAAAACAUGCUAGACAUUCUGGGAAUUGCAAACAACCAAUACUAUAUGGUUUUUUGAAUCACUCAUUUUCUUAGAAGUAUGAGGUGUCGCUUCUUCAAUUGCAGUUGAGCUGAGGAUUUAUAUGUGAAGGAUAACGAGGAGGAAGAAUAACGUGGAGAAUGGUUGUGUGCCAAGGAAGUCUCAAUAAAAUUUGUAGUCUAGAGCUAAAUUUUAAUAAGGGG